CAUUUCAAGAAAUGUAACUUAGGUCCAAUUGAAACAUGCGUACCUCUUGGCUCUUGUCCCCUCUCUCAUCAUCCUAACCCUAAUCCUCCGUCGUUCCCACUUCCCUCUUGUCUUCCCUCUUGUUUGCUCAUCAACAAAAUGGGGAAGGCAACUUGCUCCCUCUUUUCCUCAAUUCUUUUCGUUCGUAACUCCCAUCUUCAUCAUCAUCUUUCCGUUCAUAACUGGUUCUCUCUCAAAGUACAAUCUUCAUCAUCUUCACCUGAUUAGAGAAUUAUGGCAAAAACCCGCGACCUUCCGUCCUUGCCACCAACUCCCACACUGUCACUAUGACAUGCGAACUAGGCCACCACGACUCCCAUAUGCUCUCAUGUCUCUUUCUCUCUCACUCUCUCUUCUCUCAUGUUUUCCUUUUGAUUUAGGAUUUAGGGUUUCUCAAAAUUGAUUGAUUGGUUUUUGCUAAACUUGUAAAUUUACUACAUAAAGCAGAACUGGCUGCAAAUGAGACGAAUAAGAUACCUGUUGGAACUUUUGGAAUUCGCUAUGCAAGGAGUGACACUCUCCCAUUUCAUUUCGAAUUCCAAAGCCCCUAAAAGAAAACUAUGUCAAAAAGCACACAACUUGUGUACCUAUGCCAAAUGAGACUAAUUUUGGGAUGCCGGGAUCGAGACCUCUCCAGACCAUCACAGGUGUAUUUUAUUUUGAUAUUUUGGAUUCUUAUAGCAACUUGGUUUUGUUAAUUGCAUUAUGUUUCUUUUUGUUCAUCCUAUUUGGAAUGUUUUAUUUUGAUAUUUUUGAGCCAAAACUUGACAUUAAAUUCUCAUUAAUGUAUAAGAAUAAACAUACUCAGGUCAGAUCUAGUUGAAUUUGACUCGCUGUGUACCAAAUAGGAAGAACAAUUUAAAACUGAGCGAGUAAGUUGUAUCCUAUAUGUAUAUCUUCAAAGAAGCGAUUAUUACUGCUUUGAAUGUUAUUCCAAGAAAAAAAACAAUGAUGUUUAGAGGUUGAUAUGGUGUUCUGAGCAUAGCUCCUUAUUUGUGUUUCUUUGAAGUUCUAAAAUAGGUGGAGCACCAUAGCUUAGUAUUUUAUUUGUUUGAUUCAGCGAUAGUCAAGCUAUUAUUGAAAUAUUGUUAUGUUGCACGCAUUGGGUAUCUUUAAACAAUCUAUAAGCUUUAUUUUGGGGAAUUAAAGAGCUUUUUAUUUAAUUUACACGCAUAGGUCAUGUGGGUUAGCUACGAUUUGGUGUUUAUUGAUGAGUUGUGACUUGUGAUGAUUAGAAUGAUACUAUGAUAUGCCUCUGUAUUACAGGUUCCAUGUAUAUUGAAAAGAGAACUCCUAAUAAAAUUAUGAUAAAGCAUGGAGUGGUUUUUAUUGGUUUCUGUAGAGCUAUAGAGGAACAUUUUGGGACGCAUACUGAAAAGGAAUGAUCUGGAACUUAGAUGCGUCAUAGAUUCUGCAACUCUAUGUUUGAGUUGAUGGGUACUUUAUUUCACUAAUUGUGCAUACUUCUCUUAGUGCUCUGGUAAUACUUACUGUCGAGGGAUCAUUACUUAUCUCAAUAAUGAAAAAGACUCCUCAAUUAGAAUGUGUAUACACAUUUUUUUUAUCGUAAACAAGGUAGCAAGCAAUUUGAUUUUAUAGUUGCUUUAUAUUCUUCAAACAUCAAAGGGAGUAGGUUUUGCAGACAUGUUAUGCUAGAAUUUGUUUCUUAUAAUCUAUAACAAAAUCAAAGUUUAGUUGAAGAGAUAUUUUUGCUAUAUUUACUGUUCUGUUUCACAUAUCUUGUUUCUCCUAUGCUUCAUGAUCUGCAUGAUAGAGUCAUGAACUCAUAAUGUGCAAUCAACAUUAACGAGCUACUUCAUGAUCUGCAUGAUAUGUACUGCACAAAUGAUCCGUUCCUUGCUGUUUUGAAGUGAGUCCUUUGUCAUGGGCUGUCCCAGCUGAUCCCAUGCCCUUGUAGCUUAGUCGAGCUGGCCUUUCUGUUGAUGUUACUCCACCAACAAAAAAGAAGGGUCGACAAUUCACCAAGCAUACACACAGCAGUAAGACGUUGCAUGCUGCUUAUCUCGCAUGAAUCGAGUUAGAUGAUGGCUAACUUAUAUUCUUAUUUUCUAGAUCUUUCAAGCAAUGCUUAUGUAUCUAGUUAUAGUUGAGUAUGAUAUUAAAAAUAUAGUAGAUAUUCUUAUGUAUCUAAUUAUUUAUGUUUAUGCUUCAAUUGAGCAUAAUAUGCUUAAUAGAAUGAUUAUUAAUACA